UCAGUUCGGAUUGGAGUCUGCAACUCGACUCCAUGAAGCUGGAUUCGCUAGUAAUCGCGCAUCAGCCAUGGCGCGGUGAAUACGUUCCCGGGCCUUGUACACACCGCCCGUCAAGCCAUGGGAGCCGGGGGGUGCCUGAAGUACGUGACCGCGAGGAGCGUCCUAGGGCAAAACUGGUGACUGGGGCUAAGUCGUAACAAGGUACC
rnacentral:rRNA from 1 species